UACGUAGGGUGCGAGCGUUGUCCGGAAUUAUUUGGGCGUAAAGAGCUCGUAGGCGGUUUGUCGCGUCUGCUGUGAAAACGCAAGGCUCAACCUUGCGCCUGCAGUGGGUACGGGCAGACUAGAGUGUGGUAGGGGAGAUUGGAAUUCCUGGUGUAGCGGUGGAAUGCGCAGAUAUCAGGAGGAACACCGAUGGCGAAGGCAGAUCUCUGGGCCAUUACUGACGCUGAGGAGCGAAAGCGUGGGGAGCGAACAGG
rnacentral:rRNA from 1 species